rnacentral:lncRNA from 1 species
UCGGCGCUAUCUCUUGGAUUUGUUCCGUGAGACAUAAAAAUUUAUCCUAAAAUAAAAAUAAAAUUUAUUAAUUUAUUAGAAACUCAACAUAAAUAUUAGAAUAAAAAAUAAAAUAAUUAUUUUAUUAUAAACUCAUCACAAAAUAAAAAUUGAUUAGAAAUAAAAUUGAAUAUUUAUUAGGAUAAAAAAAAUUAAUUUAAAAUGAUCCAUUGUUUAUCUAAAGUUAUGAUGUAAAUGAAAUAAAAGUAUUAACAUUAAAAACCGUGUUUUUUUUUCUCUUCAUUCUUUCCUUCUCUCCUGCUUUCUUCUCUCUCUUCAGACCUCAAGUUGCCGCAGUGCACAACUACCGCGCCGCCACCCCAACCUCGAUCCAAUACUCACCACACCAGAAACCCAAUUGCCUAAAUUUCUCGUCAGACCUUAAGCUGCAGAACCUCAUCCUCCUCGAUGGCAUCGACAACCUGUCUCCCUUCAAUCCUCAAGCUACAGAACCUCCUCCUCCUUGACUCCUCCAAUGGCGAAAAGCAAACCUACCACUGCAACCCUUCCACGCGCCAUUGACACAACAACAACACAGAAAGUUCGUCAACAAGAUUUCUAUCGAGUCGUGUGCCAGCAAGAACGACGUCGUCAUUUUGAGGAAGAUAAUUUGUAGAAGAAGCACCACUGCAAAGUGAGACAGAGGCCUUGGGGGAAAUGGGACGCAGAAAUGAGACCAUUUGCAGCGACGUCGCUUUGGGGAGGGAAGCAUUGUUGCACCGAUCGCAUUGGAAGAAGCUCGAAGAAGAAGAAAAAACUAAGUCUUCACCAUGGACAUCAUCCACUUUGUGUUUUUCAAUUUGGGAAUUAGGGUGUCAUUUUCAAUUUGAAAUUUUGAUUUUUUUUUUUAAUUUUGUGAUGGCUAGUGUCUCCAGAUACUACUUAACAGUAUCAACUUUAAUUUGACAAAACAUUAUUUUGAAUAUUUUAAACAUAUAAAAGAACAAAAUGAAUUUUU